GAUAAACGCUGGCGGCGUGCUUAACACAUGCAAGUCGAACGAAGUUUUUCCUUCGGGAGCAACUUAGUGGCGGACGGGUGAGUAACGCGUGGGUAACCUGCCUUGUACAGGGGGACAACAGACGGUAACGGCCGCUAAUACCGCCUAAGCAAUUAUAACUGCAUGGUGCAUUGGGAAAAGGAGCAAUCCGGUACAGGAUGGACCCGCGACUGAUUAGCCAGUUGGUAGGGUAACGGGCUACCAAAGCGACGAUCAGUAGCCGAUCUGAGAGGAUGUACGGCCACAUUGGGACUGAGACACGGCCCAGACUCCUACGGGAGGCAGCAGUGGUGAAUAUGGCACAAUGGAGGAAACUCUGAUGCAGCGACGCCGCGUGAGUGAAGAAGUAUUUCGGUAUGUAAAGCUCUAUCAGCAGUGAAGAAAAUGACGGUACCUUACUAAGAAGCACCGGCUAAAUACGUG
rnacentral:rRNA from 1 species